rnacentral:rRNA from 1 species
ACGAGGCACUACGGUGCUGAAGCAACAAAUGCCCUGCUUCCAGGAAAAGCCUCUAAGCAUCAGGUAACAUCAAAUCGUACCCCAAACCGACACAGGUGGUCAGGUAGAGAAUACCAAGGCGCUUGAGAGAACUCGGGUGAAGGAACUAGGCAAAAUGGUGCCGUAACUUCGGGAGAAGGCACGCUGAUAUGUAGGUGAAGUCCCUCGCGGAUGGAGCUGAAAUCAGUCGAAGAUACCAGCUGGCUGCAACUGUUUAUUAAAAACACAGCACUGUGCAAACACGAAAGUGGACGUAUACGGUGUGACGCCUGCCCGGUGCCGGAAGGUUAAUUGAUGGGGUCAGCGUAAGCGAAGCUCUUGAUCGAAGCCCCGGUAAACGGCGGCCGUAACUAUAACGGUCCUAAGGUAGCGAAAUUCCUUGUCGGGUAAGUUCCGACCUGCACGAAUGGCGUAAUGAUGGCCAGGCUGUCUCCACCCGAGACUCAGUGAAAUUGAACUCGCUGUGAAGAUGCAGUGUACCCGCGGCAAGACGGAAAGACCCCGUGAACCUUUACUAUAGCUUGACACUGAACACUGGUCCUUGAUGUGUAGGAUAGGUGGGAGGCUUUGAAGUGUGGACGCCAGUCUGCAUGGAGCCGUCCUUGAAAUACCACCCUUUAAUGGCUGGUGUUCUAACGUUGGCCCCUUACCGGGGUUGCGGACAGUGUCUGGUGGGUAGUUUGACUGGGGCGGUCUCCUCCUAAAGAGUAACGGAGGAGCACGAAGGUUGGCUAAUCCUGGUCGGACAUCAGGAGGUUAGUGCAAUGGCAUAAGCCAGCUUGACUGCGAGCGUGACGGCGCGAGCAGGUGCGAAAGCAGGUCAUAGUGAUCCGGUGGUUCUGAAUGGAAGGGCCAUCGCUCAACGGAUAAAAGGUACUCCGGGGAUAACAGGCUGAUACCGCCCAAGAGUUCAUAUCGACGGCGGUGUUUGGCACCUCGAUGUCGGCUCAUCACAUCCUGGGGCUGAAGUAGGUCCCAAGGGUAUGGCUGUUCGCCAUUUAAAGUGGUACGCGAGCUGGGUUUAGAACGUCGUGAGACAGUUCGGUCCCUAUCUGCCGUGGGCGCUGGAGAACUGAGGGGGGCUGCUCCUAGUACGAGAGGACCGGAGUGGACGCAUCACUGGUGUUCGGGUUGUCAUGCCAAUGGCACUGCCCGGUAGCUAAAUGCGGAAGAGAUAAGUGCUGAAAGCAUCUAAGCACGAAACUUGCCCC